UACGGAGGAUGCAAGCGUUAUCCGGAAUCAUUGGGUUUAAAGGGUCCGUAGGCGGAUUGAUAAGUCAGAGGUGAAAUCCCGCAGCUUAACUGUGGAACUGCCUUUGAUACUGUCAGUCUUGAGUUAUGUGGAAGUAGAUAGAAUGUGUAGUGUAGCGGUGAAAUGCUUAGAGAUUACACAGAAUACCGAUUGCGAGGGCAGUCUACUACGUAUAUACUGACGUAAUGGAACUGGAAACGACGUUGGGGGAGCGAAACAGG
rnacentral:rRNA from 1 species